rnacentral:misc_RNA from 1 species
UUACGAGAGGCAAAGGCAAGAAGGAAGAGAAACUGAUAGAAGCAGCAAACUGAGGUUUGGUGCUUUCAGUCAUUCCUCAAAUUCCUGGUAAUAAUGUGUCGUGGAUUUUAAUUUCAUUGUUCGCAGAUUAUUCUGCCAACCAGUUUGUGUUCUGUUUUAUUGGAGAAUGAUGACUGAUUGAACGUAAAAUCUACGUGCUUUUUUGGAAAAAAAGC